CAAGAAUAAGGGAGAGAGAUCCAGGAAGAGCUCCCCUCCACUGGCUUCCCCGCCCUCCUCCCAGUAAUCACGCCUCCUCCCAAGCGUCCCAACCGUGGUCGGGUCACUGGGUUCGGCGCUGGUCCUGGUCUUGGUCCAGACCCUCCCAUGGCGUCGACGGAGCAGGAGGUGGCGGUCGACGCGGCCGCCGUCGUGGAGGAAGUGACGCGACAGCAGGGCAAAGGGUGCGGCGUCGCAGGAGGAGGGGAUACUGUUGUGUCCUCGAGGAACAUCGACAUUGCCUGGAGCAAGGCGGAUGAAGCUGAAGUGACAAGUUGGAGAGGGCGAUGAUGAGUCACUCAGCUGAAUUACUCCGGGAUGGCAUAUCAUGGAGCAAAUAGGUCUUGAUUUUUCUCUAGAACCCACUGAAACAGUAAGAAUCAAUUACCUAGUUCUUCUUUCACAUUACGUAACUCUCUUUUUAAUUUGGGUGAUACUCGUCUUCUUAGCUAUAGACUGCUCCAGACUACAUUAGGAUGCUUGUUCAAACAACUCUCUCAGAUAAGAAACCCGAAGAAAUUCCAUCAGUUGUGGAAUCACUCUUGAGCAAAGUAAUUGAUGAAUUUGAGUGCCGUAUUACUAGCCAGAGUGAAUUGGUAUAUUCACUUCUUUCACCAGCCUCACAAUUCCUGCUGCGCAUUUUUAGUUUUGACUAACCAACCAUACCACAGUUGGACUAAUAAAGACUAUGGAAC